rnacentral:rRNA from 1 species
UACAGAGGGUGCGAGCGUUAAUCGGAAUUACUGGGCGUAAAGCGUGCGCAGGCGGUUCGUUGUGUCGGUGGUGAAAGCCCCGGGCUUAACCUGGGAAUGGCCAUGGAAACUGGCGAACUGGAGUGUGGCAGAGGGGGUGGAAUUCCGCGUGUAGCAGUGAAAUGCGUAGAGAUGCGGAGGAACACCGAUGGCGAAGGCAGCCCCCUGGGCUAGCACUGACGCUCAGGCACGAAAGCGUGGGGAGCAAACAGG